UUUUCACUGGAAACUUUAUACACGCUCUGGUUCGUACGUAGGUAUAUGGUGCGGAGAGUGUGAAAUGAUUAUUAUCGCGGGUUUCAAUUACUUUAUUUACAUCUGAUUAGAAACCGUGUCGCGAAUUUAUUAUAUUGUAUUUACCAUUGGAAAACCCAUUGAUGCAGCUAGAAUCUCUUGUGACGUGUUGUAUUGAUGUCAUUUUAAAUGAUGCAUUUAUACACGCACCGCCGAUGAUCGAUAAUCGUGUAAAAUGGUUCGAGGGAGAGAAGGGCACGUUAAAUUCGUUAUGCGUCAUACAGAACUAACUGGAGUCGUAUGUAUGUAUAUAGAAUAACGAGAAUACAGAGUUCUAUUUACUCUGAUACAACAAUCGUAUUUGGCAUUUGCUUUGCAGUGAAUGCAAAGUCUCUACCGUUUGCUAGGGAUUUUCGUAAAAUAUUUAGAGACAUGUAACAAGGUGUUUCCUGCAGCAUUUCAGAAUGAAUAUUUACUUAAUAACAAUAACCUUUUUGUGGUUUAUGUUAAAUCUAUUCUUGCUUUUACUAAAUUUAUAUGGGUUCUCUUUCGCUAUGUCGUAAUAAAAGAAGACUUGCAUUAACGUAGGUUGAUGUAAUCUUGAUAAUAUGGAUAAUCCAUCUUAAUGGGAAUUGCAUGAUUCUUGUAUGAAAGUCGUAAAAAGGGCUAACGGUAGAUACAUGAAUCCCUAUAUAGAAUAAUGUUUGGUGAAAAAGUAAUUUAUCUUUUUGCCUGACGUAUUUGCUGCGGGUGGCCAUUUAUUUCGAUUAAACCACCUUGGACAACACGACGCUGUUGCUCACGUCGAGUUUGUCCUGGUGGCAAAUCAUUCCUGAGGGAAUUUCAUAAUAGGAAGCAGGAGCGUAAUAUUGAGGGAACAAAUUCUGUAAGCUGAGCCUCAACAGGGCAGAUGAUGUGACGUGAAAUGAGAAAUUUACGUGUAAAGAGCUGCCGGAUCCAAGAAUGGCGAAUUGGAGGGUAACGAGUCGAAGGUCAAAGGGCACCGAGGAAAGUACAUAAAGAAAAGUCAGAGGCACUCGCUUUUUUUCAGUGCCUUAUGUCUAUAUACACAAGCACAGCUUCAUCGAGAAAGUUGACAGAACAAACCGAAAGAAUAAAAAUUGCCUGAAUCUUUCAUCAGGCCCUGCCGGCAACUAGCUUCGAAAUUAUAUUUAAUAUUUAUCCCGUUCGAGGACCCAGACUAUAGAAAUGCCGACCGCAAUAGCACGACCAGUACACACCGUAUUACCCAUAAUCCAUUAUCAAGGGGCUGUAGGUACUGAAACUUUGAGAAUUGAGGGAGGAUCCGGUCCAGGAGAUGGAGCAGUUUAUUUAGCCGGAUGGUAGUAGCGCAACCGGAAUGGCUGCUGGUGGAGCCAGUCCUGGUGUCGUUCCUGGUGCCGGGUUGCUCUCACGGAGAGGGUUGAUCCUUUGCCAGGGUUAGGAGGUAGCGGAAGACCCGGUUUAUCAGGCACGGCAAAAAGUCCUUAAUUCGAUCACCAAUGUCGAACACUGAUGACUGAGGGCUCCUUCUUCUCAACGUCCACGGUCUUUGGUUACUGCAAGGCUCCACAGAGCCUAAACUUUUCCGCUUGUGUCCUUUGGGAAGGAGCGUAAAAAAUGUUUCCCUACUUUUUUUUACAGCGGGUAGCCAUGACGUUGGCUUCUUGAUUUUAUCUGCGAUUUAUAUUAGACCGAGGAUGGUAACGGAUGCUGGGGUAAUCACGAGGAAGUGGAUAUUAGAGGCAGAGAUCGUGAGAGGCGAGAAAGGAAAAUUGGAAUUCCGAGGGAACAAAGAAUGCAAGGGGUGUUGCCGGAUGUAUUGGCUCGUUUCGAAUUCUUCGAAAACUUAUCCAACUAAGGAAUGCUCUUAAGGAGGGUUAAAUGGAGCGAUGAUAAGAAAGAGGAUUUUUUAGGGAAACGAAUUAUAAUUCUUUCUUAUGACAGAAAAUAUCC